rnacentral:rRNA from 1 species
GGAAUUCCUAGUGGAGCGGUGGAAUGCGUAGAUAUUAGGAAGAACACCAAUAGGCGAAAGCAGCUAACUGGUCAUAUAUUGACACUAAUGGACGAAAGCGUGGGGAGCAAACAGGAUUAGAUACCCUGGUAGUCCACGCCGUAAACGAUGAUCAUUAGUUGGUGGCAAAAGUCACUAGCACAGCUAACGCGUUAAAUGAUCCGCCUGAGUAGUAUGCUCGCAAGAGUGAAACUUAGAGGAAUUGACGGGAACCCGCACAAGCGGUGGAGCAUGUGGUUUAAUUUGAAGAUACGCGUAGAACCUUACCCACUCUUGACAUCCUCGCAAAACUAUAGAGAUAUAGCGGAGGCUAACGAGAUGACAGAUGGUGCAUGGUUGUCGUCAGCUCGUGUCGUGAGAUGUUAGGUUAAGUCCUGCAACGAGCGCAACCGUUUUCUUUAGUUGGUAACAUUAAGUUGAGAACCCUAGAGAUACUGCCGGUGCAAACCGGAGGAAGGCGGGGAUGACGUCAAAUCAUCAUGCCUCUUACGAGUGGGGCAACACACGUGCUACAAUGGCUACUACAAAGAGCAGCGAAACAGUGAUGUCAAGCUAAUCUCAAAAAAGUAGUCUCAGUUCGGAUUGAAGUCUGCAACU